rnacentral:lncRNA from 1 species
AGAAAAGCAAGUUAGCUGAGUUCAUUGUCUCAAAGAGAGGAUGCUCCUGGAUAUUUCCAUUCAAGGCCCACUUCUGCUCUGAGCUCCAGCUGCAGAUUCUGCAUCCGAAGUGAAUCCACCCAUCACCUGCCCAGCUGAGAUUUUAUUGUGAAAGCUUGUCCUAGAACAGGUAGGAAAGAUGUAGUCACAAACUAGAUAUCCUGUUCUCAACUUUUCCUUCUAGCAGGAACAGUUUUCUGAUGGUGUUCUGAGAUAGACAUGCUUUCAAAACUGCUAUUUUUGACUUCCCAACUCAGUACUCCUUGAAGCCACGGGUUUUGCACUGCGACACAGAGAUGUAUUAAGAAUCCCACAUCUCAUUUUCCGAUAUCUCCAUAGUCUUCUAGUGGGCACCUUUUCUUAGCAAGAAGCUUCACUAAAAUAGCACAGGCACGAGGCCAGCCACGGUGCACGCUGUGCAGCAGGAGGCUGCUGGCAGGAGGCACUGCUGGAGAGGGAGUAAGGAAGCUUGUACUGAGAUGGCCUCACGCUCUUAUGCUCUUUAUGUAAAGAAAUACUCAGGAGUCAUCGAAUGAGUGUUAUUCAAUAGCCAGUUCCAUCUCUUCUCCCUUCUUUCCUUUAAAGCUUUUGGAUGAAUCAGGGCCUAUUACAUGAGCAUCGUUGGAGGACACAUAAGUACCUGUUACCAUCUCAGAGUUAAGCAACAGGGAAGUGUAAUUAAACGUGCUGUUCUGGUGGGCUUGAAACCUAUUUGCAAUCAAGCAAACCAUUGGGCUUUUCAGCAGGUUUGGCACUCUCCCCUCAGAAGAGGCCCAGCGCUGGGACAGCAGCCACGUCUCGCUACCCUGACUGAGAUGCAUUGAUGGGAACGAGUGGGAGUUUGCACAGAGUCCAGCUGCACCAAGCCUUGCUCUGGCCAGGAUUAAUCUUUCACUUUUAUGAGCACUGAAUUUCACCAACAUUGACCCCCAACUUAAAGAAAACUAACAAAAUCAUCUUACUAAAGCAAAUUCAUAUUUUUUUUUUCUGUGUAAAUGAAGCAAAGUCUUGUUUAAUUAUUUUUGUUAUUUUUGUUGCCUUGGAUAAGGAGAAUGUGGUAUGAGAUGCCAGACCAUUCACAGCCUCCUGGUUGUACCUGAAUUUAACUUGUCAAGAGCAAAAUGGAAAUGAUGGGCGCAGGGUAGAAGCUCCUCUGCUAAUGCUGAGCCAGGGAGCUGGGAGCCACCACUGAUGAGAUGCAGUCCAACUGUUCCUGCACUCCCAUCAGAAUUAAUUAGCCUGGCUGGGAGGCAGGACAGGUCUGUCUGGGCAGACUGCAACGACAGAGCAGCUACAGUGCUUGGUACCUCACUGAAUGAGUGCGGAGCAACACAGAAGUGCUAUCAGAAAGUUGGACUGAAUUCCAGAUCAGGUUCUUAAGAUGAGACAAUAGGAUUCGCUUUCCUGAAUGUGAUCGGUGGCCGCCUGAAAGCAUUACUUUGUUUCCCUGGGGCUGUUUUGCAGGACGGAGGCAGGAGCCAAGCGUCACUUUCAAGACAUUUUAUCACCUGUGUUACUCUGUUCCUUUAAAGUAGCGGCCAAUAAUCUGCAAUGGUAAAACACUUAGGCGCGUGAUAUGAAGCAGAAUAGAUCUUUGUGCAACUUCGAUAUACUUCAAGUAUCUCGCUGUUAUGUUAGUUGGUUUCACGUUUCUCUUUUCCACCCUCCUCCCCCCCCCCGCCACGUGGAAGGUCUCAUUGAAUUUUAGGCGAGGGGUAAAGAGAACAGGUGCGGCUUUUGGUGCUAAACAAAACAUUUUCUAUGCUGCAUCUCCAAUCAGGCUUCAUAAACCUGCGUUAAUGGGAUUGAUGUAACUCAAGGAGAACAGGAACUGCUAGGCAAAAACUUUAUUCUUUUCAAUUCGCAAAAGCUGGUGAUACAUGCAUUGUAUACUUAAUUACAAAAUGUAUCUGUCUGGAGCCCAUUCUACACUUUUGCUAGUUGCAUACAUUGUGUCUAUUCUAUUCCUCUUUGUAUCACAGAACAUUACCGUCCAGGGUAUGAUGUUAUAUGUGAAGGGUUUUUGCAGUGCUUGGCAAAGUUCUUGGCCGAAGUAUGGAGAGUUUUAGAGUAUGGAGAGUAUUAGAACUUUUAAUCCCUUAGAAAAUGAAGAAAUGAACACCCUGGAGGCCUACCAAGGGCAGACACAUUCCUGACACGUGCACUGCUGCAGCAGGAAGCACAGAGGCGCAGGGGCGGGCCUGCCGCCCCCCUGCGGGCGCCAUUUUGUGUGGGGUGGGCAGUGUGCCCCGGGGGCGGUAGCAGCAAGCAGCUGCCUCAGAGCGUGCUGGGUGCUUCCAGAAACUUCCAGUGAGAACUACUUGGAAAUUACAGUAUGAAGUUCUGUGCACCCGGCUGGCUACACUCACAGGCUGUGGUGUGAAGAGACUUGGACCUGCUAAUGAACAUCUGAAUGCAUGUAUAUUCUUGGAAACCUGUUUUACCACAAACAUUUGAACCUGAAAUGCCAGAUUCAUAACCCAACAAACUGAUUUGGUGAAUCCCUUAAACUGCAGCAGCAAUGAUGGCUCCUCCUUGGCAGAAACAUGCUGAGAGGCAGUUGGGAAUCCCCUGCUCUGGAGCUGCAGCCUGAGGAACCUCAGCGUGUAAGAAGCGUCUCUGAGGCACUCACAUGGUGAUGGUUAUACAUCUCCUGCUUACCCCAACUUAGUGAAAGCUGUCUUCAAGCAAAUAAGACUGGCAGCAAGGCUGGGAGUGCAAUCACCUGCUGGCAUAAUCCCUGGACUCUUCUUAAAGGAAUUCUAAAAAGGGAAACUCAGGAAUGCCUACCUGACUGUCCAGAGAACUGCCAUCCAGAGGAGCAUCCUACAGCAGCACAAGCAUUUCAUCUUCUGGAUUUGUGGAGACAUGUGGGAUUUGUUGAUGCUGAAGGCAGGAGGAAGUCAAGGGAGAAAAAAAGAAUUCUGGGAGGAAACUUGGUAAAACCGAAGAUCCAAAGUGAAACAUCAGGAAACAUCACCAAAAUGAAGCCCGUUGGAUGUUUGCAGCUGUUUCUUUAGUCCUGAUUAACAGGGAUUUUCUGAGAAGAGCUGCACAAGUGCAGUCCCCAUUCAGCGUACAGAUUUUCCAGAGUGAUCUCCAAGUUGUAAUGGACAACCUCUUUCCUGCCAGCAGAGCCCAGAGAGGAAUAAACCAAGACCACCAGCUAAGUCAUUGUGUAAUGUGCUGUGGAUAUGAGCAUCGAAUGCCCUCAGUGGCAAUGACUCAGGACCAAAUCAUCCUUUUGCGGGAAUUACCUACGAAGGAAACUGGACGCUCCAUGGCAUCUGUGUCAUCCUUCCCUCCAGAUGGUGCCUCCAAAUCUGUUCUGAAAUGGCAUGUGCAAAGCAAAUCCAGAGUGCCUAUCAUUCAGCCCUCUGAUGGCAACUCUCAGACAACUCGGGGACAGACAGAACACAAAACCAGAAAUAAGGACUUGCAACCGUGGCUGAAGAUGCCCAGAGAGUCGUGUAUGUAACAGCCAGCGAGAGGCAGAUGACAGCAACAAGAAAUUUCACAGCUCCAAAGAGUGAACGUACCACGGAUUAGUACCGGAGACAGAAAUACUUCUAUGAAAACCAUGAAGGAAGUUCCGGAAUCUAGAGUAACUCUCGGAUGCACAGAACUGGAGACUUAAAAGAUCCUCAGUUCCCCCAGGACCUGAGCAUGUAGAAACGUGGGGGCCUGGCUGUCCUUCUGGUCUGCACGCGUGGCCUCAAGCCCGAAUCCCUACAACAGCAUCUCCACUGGCAGCAAAGCGCUUCUUUGCCCUUUACCACUGAACUGCUGUGGCUUGAUUGUGUGAAACUGAGUUUCAGGAUGCAAGAUACUGUUCAGAUAGUUCUGCAAUACAUUCUUCAGACCCAGCAGCUUUGGCAGGCCCGUGGAUGAUGGAAUAACCAGAUCUCUGCGGCCACCCCUGAAAAACAGAUUCUUUCUUCUGGAUUCCCUGGGAUUCUCUCAGCAGCCAGCCUUGUUUACAGAAGUCAGCGCGGACAGUAACAGCCCUUCACCAAUGAGCCACAGUGGACCCUUUGGGGAAGGCUCCUCACGGUGCUCUGUCAUCUGCUGACAAAGUGGUGCCAGGACCAGAACUUCACAAUGAACUCUGCGGAGAAAAAUCCACAGCAGAUGAAGGAAUCUCGAAGGUAUGGACCUGCAGUAAAACUGCUGUAAGAAAUGAUUUAGUUUAUCUUUAUUCACCUCUGUAAAGGCUGAAGGCUGAGCCUUGUGGCAGGCUGUGAUAUCACCUUCUUAGUCGAGUUAUUUGUUACUGUUUUUUAUGUUUUCUGGUAUUCAAAAAAAAAAAAAGAAAAGAAAAGAAAAAGCUAUAGCUAGGAGUUAUUGGCAGUUCAAACCGACUAACACCAUGUUUGGAAAUGACCUGGAGUGCAGGUAUUUGCUACAGGAGAGCACCUGGAGCAGCUGAUGGGCGCUUAGGUACCGUAGUGCUGCUUUCCUGCCUACGGCCAAGGGACCGGGCGUGCGCAGCAGUGUGCUCUGCACGACCAGAUAGGAAUAGCAGCAAUAUCCAGCACCAAUUCCUUCCCUCUCACUCCUGGUCUGUUUCCAUACGUGGCAGUCAUGCAAUGUGAUUUCAACACGAACCGGGCUCCUGAUGUGAAAGCGUUCUCAGCUUUCAAGUUUAGGUUUAAAAAAACAACACGGAACGGAUGAAGUGAAAUGUUUCCUUUGGACGGCGCUCUGACAAAGGGGAGGAAACCCCUCACUGUGGGAUGGCAGCCGCGGGUCAGGGGCGGGUAAGCAGCGGUUACCGCCAUCCAGAGGAGAGCAGCCAUCAGCCGUCAGAUUGCAUUUUGUUUUGUGAGUGGAAAGGAGAACCCAACCGGUUGGUCUGGUUCGUGCUGAGGCAUCCCAGAGCAGAAAAACAACUCAGUGACAGGUAGACUCAGGCUUAAAGUGAGAGGAUCCCCCACGUCACUGGUUUCAACUAGAGGAUACGUCUGUGCUAUGAGAAUACUCAGUAUGAGAAACGUGCUGCGAAACAGAGGCAGCCAGUUGGAGCAGUGCUUCAGACUAAGCUGAGGUCAGUUUUAGAAUCACAGAACACUUCAGGCUGGACAGGAACUCUUGAUGUCACCUCAAUCCACGCCCUGCUCAAAGAAGGUCUCACUACGUCAGAUCGCUCAAGGCUGCAGCCAGUCAAGUUGAACCCUCAAAUGGGGAGCCUCUGCUGAAUGCUGGUUACUGCAAGGUUCAGGCACCCAAGUAUGUGCUUAUGUGAGUGGGAGUACAACGUACCUACGCCUACCUACGUGUGCUUACCUACAGACAUUUUUAUUUUCAAUGUUCUGAUUCCAGCGGCCUUUUCAAGAGACAAAAGAAAGUUAAAAAUAAAAUUAGAGCCUAAAAACAAUGGAUUUGCAGUAGCCAGCACAAUGCCAGUCUGCACUGUUGCGAAAGACCUGUGCAUAAACAUUCAUAGGGAUGAAUUCAGAGGUGAUGGGCGACACAGACUGAGGAAAAGGAGCCCAGAGAGUAGGUAAUAAUAAAGAAAAUCAUGAAAAGAGGAAACAGAGAAGGAAAAGCAGCUAAGUGAAAGGUAUGUAACACCUAAUCUAAAGCACAUUUCUCUCUCCUUCAGCGCACACAAAACUUUUACCGGUUCCUUUUUAUGGUUAUUGAAUGCCUACAUUACCUGAAAGUGGAAUUUAUUGAGCUGAGUGUUAAACUCUAAGUUUUACAAAUAAGCUUCCGUACAAAAAUAUUUAUUAUCUGUAACGUACAUCAUCAGCUCUUACACUCCCACUGCGUUCAUCCAUUGUCUCCCAAUACAGUUACCGUGAACGUAUGUCAGAAUAUACGUCAGCCUCAGAAAUACACACUUGUACUGCAGUGACUAUUUUCUAUUCCUUAUUUCUUUGCCUCUAUUUUAAACAACGGAUGUGUACGUUUGCUUAGAACCUAGCUUCUGAAACAGAAGGACAAAAUUACUGGUUCUGACAGCUGUGAAAACAUUUCCAUAAUACAGAAAAUCUAAAUGCCUCUUCAUUCAAUCACUUUCUCAAUGAAAACAUCCCAGGAUUAAAGAAAUCCAGGGAAAGAGAAAAGAUUAACCUAGAAAAGGCAAAUAAGCAAGUGAAUAAAGCUGGGUUUAUUGCUUCCUGCUUCAACAAUGUCCAACAAGAUCUGGGCCAUGGUGCCACAGCUUUCACACGCGUGUGCAGUGGACACAGCUCCCCUGCAUGCAAACAAUGCACCAGCUUGCGUGAAGUGAAUUGGGGCCAGCACAAUUGUUUGAAGGAGGAGGGAUGCACAGUCACUGGAAGCACAGAAGCGCCUUUUCUCUCUGGUUUCAUGCAGCUGACAUACCGAGCAGAGGAGCCAGAGAGAACAUGUAAUGGAAAUAAAUGACUUUGCAGACCCAACGGAAGGAGGUGGGAGCGAAAAAGCAUCCUCACCCCCUGCCCGGCGGCUGCGUAAAUCUGUCCCUGCCAGGAGAGCUCCGGGAGGUGCUCAGCGGCCGCCUCCCCAGGAGUCAGUGAGAGUUCAGGUGCUUACUGUGUCAUCAGGCUUGACCUUCACAUGCGACACUGCCAGGACGUUUGUUUUCCCACAGCAGUGAUUGCUUCAGUCAAUUAUUAUUGCCCAUCGUAGAGUGCAAACACAUAAGGGCUUGAUUUACAGUGCAAAAAUAUACAUCCUGAAUUUACUUCCUCUUUUGUUUUUGGACUGUCAUAGCAUCUCCACCUUAAAGAGAUGACAGCAAAUUACUUCAUAGGUAAAUAUAUGUAUGUAUAGGGAAGGAUAAAUAGCAGUCAUUCGGGUCAUUGUGAGAUGAACGUUCAGUAUAGCUUCAGAUCGGCUGUGUCAGACGUGACAAUAUAUUUUAAGCUUUUUGUUUUAAAAUUUUCAUUUUUUCUGCUUUUCUUUGAAGAAAUCAUCAUUCGCAAAUUUUGCAAGUUGGCAAUCUAACCUCUAAAUCCAUUCUAACGCAGAUUUAAGAUUGUGCAUUCAGUUCCUUAAGCAAUGUUUAGGUAUUACCAAUAUACUGAAAGAUAGAUGAGACAGCCUCAUGGUAAUACAGCUUUUAACCUUUCCUCUCCUCUACCAUGACGGGGGAGAAUUACAGUAAAUGAUGGUUACCUUGUCUGCAGUAUGGACAAUUGAUUUGACCUCACUGCAUCUGAUGCUCUAAUGGACUUUGUGGCUGAAUCCCUGGAGAUAUAAAAUAUGUCCAAGUGAAUUGGGGCAGGUUAAAGAACGGACCUGCUUUUCAUGGCUGGCUCAAGCUAUAAUAGAUCUCCCGGUUGUUCUGAGAAGAAGAUUAAAAAUGAUCAAUAUCCAAAUCAUUAAAAAAAAAAAGCGGUGGCUUCUGUAAAUCUACCAUAGGUGGGUUUUUUUUCCUGCUAAACGCCGGAGGAGGGUGUCUGGGUUGAUAACGUGAGUUUCCAUAACAAAUGUUUACUUCUGUUUACUCUCUAGUAACAUGUUCCUUUUUAUAUUAAGACUCAGACACACAGAUGGCGUGAUUCAGCACUGCUUUCCUGAAGUCAUGCUUGUUUACACCAUGAAGAGUCAGGCCUUAGGUUUAUUUAAUAUAGAUAAAAUAACAAUACUAUAAUAUUUCCUGAAGCAGAAAAUAAAAUCAAGGACAGAUUUCAGAGAAUGAUGGCAACUGCGAUAACUGUGAACAUCCUCACAGUUCUGCUAGCCACAGUGUCUAAGACAAAAAUAAAGGUUUAAUUUAGUGAGGAAAAAAGAAAAAAAAGAUUUUCCUUGGCUGCUCUGAGUCCUUCAUUUGGCAAAGUGCAAUUGAACAUCUUGUUUAUCCUUUCCCACCCUCUCACGAACAUCUCUGCUCUUUUCUCACCAGCACACAACUGAGCUCAAGGUGAGUGUAAGUCUGUCCAGCCCCUGGAGGUGCCAGGAGAAAAGCUUUCACAGCCCACAGCUGGGAGCUCACCCACAGACCUUCCUCUCUACAUACAGCAGCAAUGGGGCAGGCAACUUCAGUGGGCUUAUACGUAUGCACAUGCUUAGCUUCCUGUAAAACCCAUGCAUUAAGGAGACAGAUGCACAGCUGUUCCAUCUGAGGCAUGCAUGUAUUGGUUUCUGCACUUAUUCAGUAAACUUGAAAUGCAGAGGAGCCCAAAUCUCUGUUCUGAACAGUUUGAGGUUGUUUGGAUCUGACAUCUCUGUGCGUUCACUGACAGAAAUAAGCUAAUUAUGAACCUGAGUUGGAAGAGGGAUGCCCUUUUUCUGAGUUUUGAGAAGUGUCUGGGCAGAGUAAUUGGACUGCCCUAUCUCAACUGCGUUACAGCAAUCGAGCAAAUGCGAAAAGUCUUCCUUAGAAAGGAAGAAAUAUGUGUUUUUAAGUGCUAGGACAAUUCCACGUAACAUCACGGUUUGCAUCUAUACCCACAGUACGCAGAGAUUCAUGCAGAUGUCCAACAAAUUGAAAAGGCUUCAAAUAUAUUUUAUCUAGUUGUAUGUUUAACAGUAUUUACCUUUUGCCUUUCACAGGUUGCUUUAAAAUCUGACUAUGUAAUAACAUCCUCUGAAUGAUUUAAUUUAAGCUAACGUGCUAUCCCUUUAUGUAAAAAGUAAAGGUAUUUUGAAAGCCCUUGCUGAAUACUCUGAGGUUGCCUCUACUGUGUGGCUAGCACUGGGCUGAAUGCCUAGCAUCCGUGCGUAGAAGAGGGAACAACUGCUGCCCCUCCGAUCUGGCUAUUCUUGUAUCUGGAAACAUUGUCAGGUGCUACAAGCAUCACGCCAUCUGAAAGGCCAAAGUUGAGUACUACGUUAUUGGAGUAGAUGACACCUUAUUCUUAUUCUUCAACAAUUCUAACAACUUAGAGUCCCUCACUGUCCCUUUAUGAACACAGAUGUCAUUCUGAGGGGGGGGACAGCCAAAAUGACAAGAAGGUGACCUGUCGGUGAACUCAGGAGCAGGUGAGGCCUGUCAGCUUCUAAUUUGAAACUGGUGUCAGUCCUGAGGAAUGGCUGGUAUAAUCACAUUUGUAACUGAUAUCCUAUAAACGCUGCAAACAUUCACAGUGCGCCUGUUAUGAGUAAUAUGAAAUUAACAAUUCGUGUUUAUGACACAAGACACCGACCGAAUCAAGCAGGUCUCCGUAACUGGAUCAGCUCCGUCUGUCUGCCAGAGCAGCGCAUCGAACUGCUUCAACCAAAGCCAAAUUACUGUGUGCUUAUGUUACAAUAGGCAUUGUAUUUAUUUUGAAGACAAACUUUUGUAACUAGGCGUAAAGUGAGGACCUCAGAACCAGCUUCUCGCUCAAGUUAUUGCAUAUAAAACUUCUCUUGCUCGAGCCCAGCCAUUAAGAUGUUCGUGACUUUUAAGUUAAGAGUUUGGGACCUAACAAAUCACGUGUUGUAUCUCACAUUUUCUGAAUAACUGAAGGGAAGGCUCUGUGUAAAUCUUCUCUCUCAGACACAUAAAUUACCAGCUGCGUGAAUACUGCCAUUAAGACAAGCAGACAAGUGCGAGGGGUGGGGACAGGGCAGGAUGCCCCAAAGAGGUGGAGUUACAGAGAAAACAAGGCAUUUGCUUACUGAGUAAUUUAUGCUUCAUCUGCCUUCACUGUAGCUCGGUAAGAAUGAACACCAUGAGGCAGUCUGUCAGGCGCUCUCACUUCACUACCGCCAAGGCAUUUUUCUGCAAAUUAGGUAUUUGCUUCCUAUUUCUAGUCACUUCCACCUGGAUUUUUUAUUAGGAAAAGUCAAAAUCAUAGUAUCUGAAGCUAAGAUUUGAAUUGAAGUUACACUAAAAGAUAAACUGUUGCUCAAGUAUAUUUCACAUUUGAAGACAGCAAAAUCUCACAAUCCUUUGCACAAUUAUUUCCAGUCCAAACUGACAGAAGCUCUAAAGUUCGGGUCCUUUCCUGCCUGCACUGCUGCUGAGCCUGGUGCAUAGAUUAGAAGUUCCUUUCCAAUAACAAGCAAAAUAAAAGAAGAACCAUACGAAGAAUCUAUUGCAAUUGUUACACUGGAAUUUAGUUAGCAGAGCUACAAAAACGCAAGUCCAAAUCCCAAGUAGCUAGUGGAGAUUUCUGAACGGUUCUGUACACCUUCACGUAGACAAUCCAGUGGAGCUAACAACCUACUGUAGCACUCUUUUGUGAUAGGCAAAUACCAUUCAUUUCCAUUUUCCACAGAAGAACUGCACUCCACAGAGCUUCAGCAAUGUAAACAAGGCCAGGUACAGCAUUACAGCUGUGGUUCAGGCAACAACAUUCCUUGUCCUCUGACACAACACUUACACAUCAUACUUGUAACACUACCUAGUUCAAGUUGGUGGUCAAUACCACCUAAUUAGCAGAGUAAAAGUGCAAUUUUGAAACCAACUUACAAAACUGCUACAACCAACCUACAAAACUCCAUCAUACCAAAGAAAAAUUAUGGCUCUAAAUUUCACAAUCACUCUCUGCCAACCAAAAACUCACCUUUAAGAAGAGUCAGGGCUGAAAGCUGAAAGUUGAGGCAGUCAUCUCUCAACGUGUAGAACUCCUCACGUUGCUACGAAGGUACAGCACGGUUGUUCAGUGUUUGGAUAAAGUACUGCAUGGGAACUGUUGAAUCACAGCCUGAACCACCAAUUGAUCACCUGAGGCAAGGACUGAAUCAGCUGUGGGAGCACAGGUGAAAGCAAUUCAGCUAUGUGACCAGAAGCUGUGUGACCACAUUCCACCCCUCCCAGACCCCAUUUAAGGGCUGACUAACACUGGGGAAGAAUCUCCUUGUGGUGAUCCCUCCUUUGUGGAGCUUUUCAGUGUGAGCCUAAAUCUUUGCAUACAGGUGAGCAGUUCUUCUCUGUUUGUUCCUUUGCUAUCUCACUGCAGUACUCUUUCCAACUGUGCUUUGUAGACUAUACAACUACUUUGGUGGCUACUCAGAGAUUUUUUAGGAACUGAUAACAUAUGUUUUAAUUUUCCUCCUACUUGCACAGGUAUAAUUAUAUUAAUUCCCCACAUAGUUUAUGAGAAGAGCCUGCCCUGUGGAACAAGACCCAGCACAGCAGCAGGUUCCUGCAGCACCAGGUCAGCUCCAGAGGCUGAUAUCAGCAGCACCACCUCACAUAGCUCCUAGAGCUGGUAGGGUGCAGUGCCUCAGCUGGAUUGCUGCUGUAGCUUACCUGCAGGAGCCUUCUGCAUCACUGGUCAUAUAAAAUGCUCCUCUGCCAACAGAUGGAUUGCUUAUCAUUUUGAUUACUGGCUGUAAAUGUUCGUUAUUUUUUCAUUUCCUAGCUAAGCAAGCUUAUGUGUGUGUAUACAUUUUCUACAGUUUUCAUUAGAGUAACACUAAGACCUGGCAUAAGGCCAGGAGAGAGAAACUUAGAAUUAUUGAUUAAAAAAUACUCUUAGUUUCUUCCAGACCUUCAUUGUGACCCUCAUACUCCUGACGUUAAGGAGCAGCUGGCACCCCUCAGCUCAGCCCAUUACCUCUAGGGCUCCCCUGAGCACCUUGCACCCACCUGGCAGUGCUGUAGAAAGGAGGCUGUAGUGGGUGAUGCUGAGCUUCUGCUCCCAGUGCUGGGCCCAUGUGAGGCUGCUAGAAAACCAAAAGAAAACAUGGAGGGGGGGGGGGGGGGGGGAAAGCCCACAAAAAAAAAACCACCGUGAUCUGUUCUCGAAGGUGGAAAGUGGAAGAAUAAGACAAAAGCCUCUGUGGUCAGAGUAGACAUCUCUUAAGAUCUUGAGAAAAUUCCCCAUACAUAGAAAGAAGCAGCAGAGCACAUCUGUUUUCAUGACAUAGUUUGGUAAUAUCUUGAGCACUGCACUUCCUCUUGACCUCACAGCACCGCUUUCUGUUCAUACAAUUAAUACGGGGAAGACACCAUUCCCACCAACUUUCAUUUUGAAGAUAAACAAAAUCACUCCUUUCAGGGUAAUCUUGAAGAAAUGAACUGCAGCAAAUCUACAACCAGGCAUACCCAGUGAAGAGAUGUUGGAGGGAAAAUGGGGAUAUAAAUGUAUGGCCCAAUUCUAAUUUUAUUCAUUUCUAGUACAUUGGGGUAGGCAGAAUUGGAGUAGGAAAAAAAGGAAGUUUGACUUCUGGGGUUGUCUUUCUAUAUCAUGCUGAAUGGAGAGCAACACAGCACAUAAUCUCACUGGGUGGGAGAUGGGACUUGAACAUGAGGUAUUUCUCUAAGCAGCUUGAAUCAAGGGCUUAAGCACGAGCAGCCUGUAUCUCAUCCAGCUCCUGUAACUGCUAUCUUGUGGGGAUCUUAUCCCAGACUUCAUGAAUAUUUAGCGAGGCUUCCAAAAUAAAUUGGCACUCUCAGUAUACACUGAGACCAUGAACCAAUGAUUGGGAAACUAGUCUGGUUCAAAUCCUUGCUCUGCUCCGUUCCCUCGCAGGUGUAGUGACAAGUUCAUAAAUAACAGCUCUUUGCUGACUGUAGGGCUCCCAUACACGAGUGCCCUAAUCAGUGAAGAAUUUUUUUUCCCCUCUAUACAGCAGUUCCAUCUGCUUCAGAAAGUUUCCCCUCAAAACCAAUGCAUUUACAAGGUAAGUGCUAGUUUUGGUGACUCAGUGCUUUCUUUAAAAAGAAUACCACAGUAUUUCAGUCAAAAACCAUAAUCAACAUGAACUGAAAUGACACAGGUUUCUAAGCCCUUGGCUGCAUGGCAGCCUGCGUGCAGCCCCGAGGCAAGUUCCAGCACUGCAGCAGCGACCAAUGAAAAAUCCUUGAAGCAGAAAGGCAGCAUUAAAGCCAUCCAUUAAGCAGUGUUUACGUUUACUGUGAGGUGAAUUACAAAAACUCCCUGGCAGUGUUUGAAAUCUGAGGGCCUAGGAAAGCCAUCUGGGAAUGGUACCUCAGACACAUACUGUUAUCGUAGUAGCAAAAUUGAUGGCUGCAUCUUACCUGCUGGAGCUCUUCUUCUGCUUCCCCAGGAAUCAGCACAGCAAAGGCAGUGGGAUGCCCACAGCCUUUCCUGUUUCUUCUCAUUGGUGUAGGCCUGCAGAAGGACAAUAUAGAUUUAGUCAAAGGAGACAGCAUGGAAGCAGACCUGGAUGCAUGUGACAGAACUGGAGGCAUCCCAGCAUAAUUAAUGAGCAGUGGAGCAAGUUGUUAUUUAUGUUGCCUGUUUCUAAUGAAUGGGAAUUAGUCAUGUCUUUGAUUCUUAGGUGGCUAUUUAUGCUGCUUAUCUGAUAUCUGAAAGGAAACUGUUCUGAAUAUUUUCUAGUCCAAGGAGGACUGGGUGGCUAAAACAAGACCUAACUUGUGCUUUUGGCAAAACAUUAGGAAACUAGUUUCCAAUUUUGGAAGUGUCUGCAUGUAGUUUUCCAUAGGUUUUUUUUCUUUCUUUGAGUUUUCCUGACUUCAGUCAGGAGGUGAAAUGCCAGAAAUACCCAGAGACAACAUAUCCAACAAGACCGCUCCCCCACAGGCACUGCAGCCCACCGGGUGUUUUUCCAAACCACCCCUGAACUCUGAACCUCCAAAUCAUUCACAGAUCUCUUCCACUGGGAGAUGAAACCACAUCGCUGCACGACUGCAGGAAGGAGCAUGGUGGGGAGCCGUGAGGAAAGCUGUGCUUUCCAUUGCCUUCCUGAGCUGGGAUGAGUGGUGGCCGCGCUCGCUGCAUCAGCCUCUGCUCGGGCUGGGCGCUGUGAGGGAUAAGCACGAGCUGGGCAGCAUUAGUCCUGUGGUCACCCAGAGCGUGAGCACUGCCCUGUUUCUGCUCCAGCUGAAGCCUGAAUGGAGCUUAGCUGGGAGAGGCCUCCAUUUCCCAUUACACAAUGGUAUUUUCUGUUAGACACUAAAGCCCUCUGUCCCUGAUGAUAAGCUGGUUUUUAUUAUAAAAUAUAACAGUUGUAUUUUACACAGCUCUUCUGUACAAUGCAAUUUACGGAGCUAUUCUGCUGGCUCUGUCAUUGACAGGGUGCCCUUUACAGCAGGACUUGUAGCACACCAAAAUUUUCAUGAUCCUAAGCUAGCGGGAAAAGAAAUAUUUCCAUGGGUGAAAAUUCCGGUUAGGUAACUAUUAUUGAAGUGUGUACGAGAUUGCAUGUCAAAACAUUUUUAUUGUUAGCUGGUUGGAAUCACAUUGACUGACAGCAGCAGUUUAACAACUGAAGCACAGCGCAGUUUGUUAUUGUACCUGUUUCUCCAUGGAACAGCUCUGUAUUUUAGCAGCUGCUAUCAUUUCUAAGUUACGAAGCCUGCCUUUAGAAAUGUGUGUUCCCUCUCUCCCACUUACAGUACCCUUACUGAGCUGGCACAAGACAAGCGAGUAAUAAAAGGAAUGUAAAGUGUUUUAAUUUUGUCUUGUUAUAUGGCAUUACAUUGCCAUGGCCUCUUGAUAACAUAACAAAUGUAUACAGGAAAUACAGCUCAAGUGAGCAUGGAAACAGUGGGAGGAGAAGGGGUGUUAGGUUUGGUUGCUUGGUGGGGGCUGUUUGUGCUGGCUUUUCUUGGGGGAGCGGGGGGUGGAGGGUGGUUAAGACAGAACCCAAUUGUGUUCCUCUAAUUACAGAGUUAAUGGAGACGCUCCAAACAGAGGAUUAAGUGGAAAGCAGAGUUUUGCAGCAACCUGAGAUAUUAAAAGGAAAACCAACUGACAGAGCAGAAAAAAGACAGCCAACUUACGGCAACGCGGCAGUAUUUUCCACCAAAAAGUCGCCGUUAAAUCCCCCGCAAUUACUCACAGGUGAGCGCCGCCGCACGAGCAGCCCUCCGGCUCGCCCCGCUAGGUGGCGGCCCAGGCGCUGCCUGCGCUGCGGGGAUGGCUGCCGGCUUCCCUCCGCCGCCGCCCACGCCUACUGCUAUUGCACGUGUUCUGUAUUAGGCGUGUGCUCAAUAUUCGUGAUUUGGUUGUUAUCUUUACAUGAGAAUAUUACCUGCAACCACGCGGCCGUCCUGCAAAAUCCCGAAUUCUUUUGCCUUGAGAUUUUGCAAGCUGUGUGUGCUUACUUACAAAAAGUCUUUCAUAUGACCACGUUCAGAGGUGGGAGUUACUCCGAUCUGCUGUUAUGGGCUGCUAUAGCAUCUGCAUAUUAAUCUUACUAUUUUAACCCCCCCCCCCCCCCCCCCCCAAAAAAAAAAAGUUAUUUUCAAUGUUUUUACAGUCUACCUCAGCAUAAAUAUCACAACUGUACAACAGAAUAUUCAAAAGUUACAGAACUGUUUAGAUGGGUGCACUUGGUUUUGUUCAAGCAGGAUGCUUUAACAGGCGGUGCUGCUAACUGUGCUGCCAGUUCUUGCUUCUGUCUGUUCACGCAGCUAUCGGGGUGCGCAGUGGCCGUGACACCCGUCUGAGCUGCACAUCACAGACACUGUAACUGCUGGGCUCACCUGAAUGUGUUCCCACGUGCCAUGCACUGCUGGCGCUCUCAUGGCUCCACACAAUGCCUGCAUUUCACCCGACAUCGCGCUUCAACACCGUGGCAUGGCUGCAUUAGCUGCUGCUGGAGGACAAAUAAGGAAAGGAAACGGGAAAGGAGGCGGUGAGCAGAAAAGUGGUCUCAAAUAAGGAAGCCCUUUAUUUUUCAUUUGUCUUUGAAGACUGAUGUACUAACAAUGUGUACCAACUUACUUGCAUGGCUUCCACACGAAAGAACUGACUGUUUUGAAAACAAAUGCAAAGAUUCACUCUUGGGCAAAGAGAUUUCAAAGCAGUGAAACAGUUGGCUCUUAAAAAUGGUUUUUUUUUUUUCAAAGCAACAUUAAAAAUUGUAAUAGGUAGCAGCGCAAAUAAGACAGCAUUAAUGAGUACAGUCCUUGCUGGUAAACCACUGCUGUGCUUUUGAAGUAAAAAUGUCUAACUGUUUUUGUUUGUUUGCUAGGAGUCCAUCCCUGGCUUCCUCAUACUUUCAUUUGAAUGGGAUUUGGAUUCUGCCUGUCAUUGUGAAGUAGACUGGAAAAGAGUACUGUCAACACAGAUGAAGACUCAGUGUGAAUAAAAUUAAAAUAAUUAAGUUCUGUUCAACAUCAGUUUGGCCCUGCUUGAGUUGCCAGGACUCCGUACACAAUUUGGGAUGGGGGUUGGGUUUUUUUUUUCGUUGACUGUGGUUUCCUUGGUUGGAAUGCUAUGUCUAAGACCACCAUCCAGGAGAAUGAAGGUCUUCCACCCAAGGGCAACAUCUGUUAUCUACACAUUUGGAUAUUGUGUCCAAAACAGGAGAUAUCAGCUUUGGAGGAACGCGAUUUCAGAGUAUGAAGCAGUUCCAAAGACCACUUGGACUUGAUCUCCAAAUGCCUGAGAUAGAUACAAGCCUUGAAAGUGACCCUCGACACCCUGGGAUCUUCUGUGUAAAAGGCUGAAGCACCCAGGGGGUGUAUCCUUGACUGUGCUGCUGAGUCAAUUAAUUACAGUGCUCGAAAUAAAAUGAAGCUUUGGUUAAGGUAGGAAAAGAGAAAAUAGUACUAAGGUUAACAGUUUGUGAACGUAUAUGUUAAAUAUAUGCAUGUCCCUAUACAGCAGGAAAAGAAAAGGAGUUGGAGGAGAGCAAUUCUAUAUCCUAGUGCCUGUUAUCUGGGCAGAGCAAGGAACUGAGGAGACAUACCCAGGAGCAGCCCACGGCUCUGCAGCGUUGCUCACGCUGAUACCCUACUGCAGCCCAGCAGGGUGCCAAGGAGCUGCUGUGGGAACUGGCUGGAGCAACAACAGAGCCCAGCCAGCUCCCUCCCAUUGACAGCAAGCUCAGCAAAGCAUUGAAGCUGGCUGAACUUACACCUUGGGGUGGUUCAGUGUCACCUGCUCAGAAACAAGGAGCAGCUUUGCUAGACCGUCCCAGCAGCACAGAAGUGCCAUCUGGACCUGGGAGAAGUGUGAAUCUUGUCUCAACUACAGAUGAUCCUAGCACUGUGCAAGCAAACACCCUUAAGGAAAGGUAGGGACGAUACAUUUUUUGGCCUUGUUUAGGCAUCAACAUUUGGGUUUUUAUGGAAAAAUGCUUCACAGAAACAAAGGUAUGAUUUAUCUUUUCCUACCUCUCUUCAUUUCAAAACAUGCCUGAACUUGCAUAAACUAUAACACCCAGUUCAAGCUUGAACAGUCACUGUGGUUCAUCUAUUGUAUAAAUGCUUGCAGAUCACACUGUACUGUGUGAUUUUUUUUUCACAGCAUUUAGAAUGUGCAGCUGCAUAUGGGAAUGUAGGAGGGGUCAGCAUUGAAGGGGUUCACAUUCAGCACUGCCUACAGGAAUCCCAAAACUAAAAAUGAGCCAGAGGAGAACAGCAGCACUUAUCCUUCUGUUCACUUAUGGUCAACAUGCAAUUCCAAGGAUCUAUGUCAGAUUUCACAAUUCUACAAAGGCAAUCCUGCAAAUCUUUCAAUUCACAGUAAUAAAUUUGUAGGCACCUGAUGAUGGGAUUGAGAUCUGAAAUGAAUAUUUACUUUUGUUCAUGAGGCAUGUACCAACUAUCUAUAAGCAGUAACCUAAUCAAACUAUCCAUGGAUUUGAAGAAUUCUGUUUGAACAGAACAAUCACAAGAUCUGUAAGCAUACUUAAGUUUUUCUGCCUCUCAUUGAUUUCACCACAGACAGUCAAAUUGAAGUUAGAUCUGUAAAUGCUUGUCCUUAUUGUAUUAUGUCAGAGAUAGAAUUUUGUUCCGAUUAAGGGCACUGCCACCGUGACAUAAAACUAUGUGACAUAAAUUAAUAUAGCAAGAAAGUCAAAAUGUCCAUGAAAAAUAUGUUCACAUACCUUGUCUGUCUUCCCAACCUUUUCUUUGCUUCUUUGAUUUGCUGCACUCCUUCCUAUGUUCUGCUUUGGUCACUCUCAGUAAGAAAAACUCAUUACAGCAAAUUUUCUUCAAAUUGAUGCCAGUUGAUUUAAUUUCAGGAAGAAACAGAACCUUGUUAACAAUGGCUACUUUUUGCAGCUUUCCUGAUUUGAGCUACAGAUACUAAUGUACCACAAGUAUUUAAGUCAAUAGUAUUAGGAGUAUGAAUUUGAAACAAACACAGUUUUUGUUCACGAUCUGUCUCGUGCAUUUGGAAUACGUGCCACAGCACUCAGCAGUGACGUUAGCUAUAACUUCUGGGACAAGCUGUUCAUCAGAUGACAGCCUCAAACCACAUAAGAAGCCUCAAUCUUCUGGUCAAAAAGCUAUUUUGCUCUUUUUUUCUAAGGGCUGGGUUCUGCAUGAAGUUCUUGACUAAGAAUAGCUCACCCUGCCUGUCCAACCAUGGGCUGGGGCAAUGCUGUGAGUGGCCCCAUACAACCAUCCCCACACAGCAUUGCCACUCACCCGCUGACCCCAGGCACUCCCUGCUAUUCCAUCCAUGCAGUGCUGUUAUCCCAUAUCCCUGCACACAUAUUGGACAAAUUCAUCUUAUUUUUUUUUUCCAAAUGUCACAGAUAUCCGCCCUGUUAUUUAGAUGGAGAAUAACAGACACACACUGAUGUGGAUGUAGCUGUCUGUAUCGCUUCUGAAUACCUCAAGCAGCACCCCUUAGGGUUAUGCAUAUGCCAGUCCUUACAAUUUUUUUUAUUUUAUUUUAGAGUGCAAUAUGAAUUUGGGUGUAACCAAGCUAUGGUGAGGUCCCCUCCAAAGGAGCAAGAUUAAAUAUGGCUGUAUGAGCCAGCACUAAUCUACUGAGAAGUGGGCAUGCUGGACCAUAGGCAGCCAGCAGUUCGCAGCACAUUGGGGUGCUCCCAUGGCCUGCAGAGAAGAGGGCUACAUGAGACAAGUGUCCCCCUCCAGAGCUUCAAAUGGACCUGAAGCUCCAUGCUUCUCCCCGUGGGAACAAGCUCAAUUUUGUGCUUUGGUCUAAAGAGAGAUCAAGAAGCACUACCAGAACCAGAGCCAGAAAGGAAUGGGUAAUGGGGUGAGUAAGAAGCCUACCAAACCUGUUCAGACUGCUCCUGGGAAGAACAACAGUGACAGCAGAUGGCAGUGCCCAGGAAAUGACUGGGGCUGGUGGGCAGCACUAUUCAGCACUUCCAGCACUAAUUUGAUAGCUGGUGGGCAGUGGUGAAGGGAAAGCAAUGGGGUCAGGUGGGAUGAGGCCACUCUGGAUAGACACUGUUCCUAUCUCUCAGACCUAAAUGCCCCUCCUUACAGGGGCAGGUGCUCAACAAUUCGCUCCAGCUCCAGUGCAGAGCAGAGGGAGCUGUUCUGAAAAUGUAAAACAAAGAAGAAAAAUAACGUUUGGCUAGAAGAAGGACUUUGCAAAAUUUCAUAAGCACAUCAUGGGGAUUUAUUUAAAUACUCUUUCAAAACUUGCAUAACAAGGAAGUAGAUGCAGAUAAUUCUUAUGCGUCUCACCAACACUACAAACAAGACCCAUUUUUCAAUGACAGUAUUGAAAAUGUUUCCUCCCUUGAGUUACACGUAGUCAAGAUUGUCACAUGGGGAUUUUUAAAAAAAUCCCUUAAGCUGGGAAUAUUUAAGAUAACUUUCAGAAGAUCUCUGUCUACAUUUCACUGUUUUAAGUCUCCUUUCAUAAUUAUGUUUAAUGUAACCUCUGCAAAACAAAUAAAAUCACUCAUUUCCAACAGACAUUCACCCACUGCAAUGAGCUCAAAGAAAGACAGACAAUAGCAGAGGAUAAGCGGCUGAGAGUGGACAGCCACGUCCUCCAGCCAAGCAAACCCCAGAAAGUAAGACAGUGUUUUUCAUCGGUCCUUUACAGUUCAGCAUUUAGAGCUGUCACAUUUCUCACCUCACAGAAAGUCCCACUGAAGGACAUCUAGCAGAGCUCUCUCCCUCUCACUAGCAGCCCUCUGCUAUGCACACGAGCCACAGCUUAAUGCAGAUACAUACAUUUUUACCAGCUCUUCCUUAAAGUAUCUGCUUUUUACUGGCUCAGCUUUUUUUGACGCUGUUAUACCUUUGAAAUGAAACUCGAGAGUCCACCUUUCAUUCAAAUAGGGAUGUAAAUUCCCUAGGAAACUGGUUCAUAUUCUUUAGGAAUGUCUGCAUUUUCACAAGAGUCAAAGAACCCAAAUGUCUACAUUAUAGGUCUAAGUUAUGUGCAAUUUAACAAGGGUUAGAGUAACAACAGAAACAAUUCAGAAAAGUAUACGUUUGUAAUUUAAUUAUUCAAUUAUUCCCUUCUAAAGUUCUUAAUAAAUAUUUAAAUAUUGCACACAGCAAGAUAAGUGAAACAUCAACAUUGCAACAUGGCACCGAUUCAGGAUGCACCAUUGGAUAUUGGACUCAUCAGGCCUUUAGGACACAAGCUAGUCAGUGAACAUCAAGUAUAUUUUUUGAUGAACUAUUUGCAAAUUAGAUGUAUUACAAAUGUUUGCUCAUUUAAUUAGAAUAUAAAAGAUGAUUUCUUUGACUGGACCUUGCUUCUGACCCUUCUUGCCUCUGUGUGGUUUGUAUGGUUCUUGGCUAAUGAGAUAUAGGAUAUGUACUAAACAUUUACACAUUAAAGGCAUCCUUCAUUCAGCAUGAAGGUGUUGAUACAUCAAGGAUACCUCAAACAUGCUGAGAUUCCAGCAACUUGUCAGACAAAUUAGCACCUUACCAAUCGGGGGUAAAAUUGAGUUUCACAUUUCUCCCUGGUGGGAAGAAAAAAAUCAAAAAUCACUGUAGUUUAAUACUUUCUUUGUAAAGAUGAACACAAAAGGCCUUAUCACCUCUGUAGUGUAAAUUAUAGCCCUCACUGACUAUCUGAUUUUUAAUUCAUUGGUUUUAAAUGAUCCUAGGCAGUUUACAGCAAAUCUAUUGUGUCAUUCCUCUCUUAGACUUAAUAGAAGAAAAAUGUCUGCCCUAUCUCUUUUACAAAUAUUUAAACUUUACAUCUGCAUGCAUAUAUAUAUAUAUAUAUAUAUCUCUCUCAAAAUGGACGGAAAUCAAAGUCUUAAAUUUGUAUGUUCCAUUAACAUUAACCACCAGCAGCUUUUAACUCAAACUCUAAGGGGUAUGUGGAAUUGAAGGACUGUACAGCAAUGAAACUAUGAUGGUUUAAUUUUUUUCAGCUGACUGGUGCUGAAAAUUAAUGCAUAAAGAUUAGGGUUAAGAUUAGUGCAUGAAGAUGCAGAUUGCUGGCACCCCGCGUGAGACAUUCAGAGCACCAGAAAGACCCACUGCCUAGUAAUGCAGUCUAAUAAAGUAUCCCCAUAGAUUGAGAGUAAAGGUAAAGUCAGCUAUAGGUGCUACAGACACUACAGCAGGACCCAGUGACCAUCCGGUGCCCUUAAAUCACCAAGCAUUACACAGCAUGGACUGAGGAAACCGAGUUGACUACCUACUCAAGAUUUGUGAAGAGAAGGUUACUACCAUAAACCUCAAAGAUGGGAAUUAUUUAUGCAUCCAAUAGCUUUCUGCAAUUUAUGUAGCUGAAACAUUUACCUCACCGUGAACGCAUCACAAAAACACCCAUUUUCCAAAACUGUGAGGUCAGCAAAUGAAAUCAACCUGUAACUUGUGCAGGAGGAGGCCUGAGCUUUCUGCAGAGAUCGGGUGUGUACCCACAAGUCAUUCCUUCCUUUCCCCUUGCCAACUUCCUCAUUCUCACAAGUCUCAAAUUCAGAUUUUUUUUUUUUUAAAUAUAGGAAAGAAAUAAGCAGAGGAUCUUCCCAGUUGCAGCUGCUUGAGACUCUUUCAAUAAUUUAGUAAUUAUCAUCAUGCUAAUGGAUUUUGCCAUCAGCCUCUCUCCUUUUAUCAAUAAACCCUAGUAUCUAAACAGAACACACAUCCCUCCCUGUUCCACAGGCAGGGUGACUGUGACCCCACAUCCUCACUUCCCCUCAAAUGUCCUGUAUGCAAUCACCUUUGUUCAGACAUUUCAAGAACAUGCACUUCAGCAUAUUAAAUCUAUGACAGAAAAACAGAAACUGUGUUACCAGAAGCAGCUCCUUAAUUCUAGGGAUGCUAAUUCCUUUCUGCAGAUGUAUUUUUCAGAAUUCUCGAUACAACAAAGUGAGAAGGGAUGUUGUUCGUGCCCAGCAGCCACAACAGGGUAGACAAGGGACACAGCUGCUGAAGCAGACAAGGAAUUGAGCGAUGACUGCCUGGGCAUUACACUGUAAACCAGAUUCUUAUACCAAGAACUUCAUUUAGAAAUCUGGAGAAAACUUAAGAUUAAUUUUGUUCAUACUACAUAUUUGCAUGGAACUUUGGAGCAAGGCUCCUGCUCAGCAACAUACACUACGUAUAUUAAAACCCUUGCACACUUUUUCGCCUUAAGGUUAAAAAUAUCUGAAAGAGAAAGACAUCACAUUUUUAACUGCUUAAGAGAGAAAGAAAUAUUGGCUCCCAUAUAUAGAGUGACAUGAUUUAUAAAUAUGUGGUUAAAAAGAACUGAUUUACAGACAGGGUCGUGAAUCUGUAGCUAAGUGUUUUAGCAUUUAACUAAAACAAUAACAGCCAGCAUUAAUUGCAUGUGGUCUGUUGCACAGCUACCGGAAUCAAAUAGUAAAGAGGAUCACAGUUCCUUAUUAGUUAGGACCACCUAGGGUGAUGGAAAGCCUCAAUGAUCAAAGAGAAGACAUUUUUAUGCUGCAAAUGUUGAUAUACUCUUGAGCUUUCCACCACAGUUUAAGAUCCGGUAUGAACACUUGACAACACACUAACAUAACAUACUGAACAGGACAACACACGUGAUAUUAGACUACACAAGUUUUGCUUGCUGGAAAAAGAAGUGAAUAAGAUUCAGUAUUAUUUUCGUUUUCCCUACUGUAUCGCAGAAUAGUUCUCUAUUAUUACCAGGGUGAUUUAUUUUCACCUACUUGAAUCAAAACUAAACUAGCUUUUGUUCCUAACACCGUAUCAUGAGAUCCCAUCACUACUAUCCAGUGAUCACUGGAUAGAUGAUGUAAAACAACAGCCUUCAUUUAUCUGUAGAAAUGCAAAGCAAUCCAGUGUGAUUACUUACCGUUUGCAACUUGGCCAUCCAGGAGCAUGGAGUUGUUUCUGUCUUGGCUGAAUAGCUGAAAUGUUUGGAAGAGAAUAAUUUAAUGUAUGUGUGCUAUUCAAGUGACUAUAAUUACUAAGAGAUAUUUUCAUUUUUAAAUUUAUAACUGCACUUUCUUUGUUUAUUGUUGUUGUUCAGUCUCCUGCCUUCAAUAGAUCACGACUUCUGAUGCUGUAAUUCAUUGCAGACUACUCUGUGUUAUAGAGAAAAACCUUAUGGUUCAAGUGAAAGAGGUUGAAAAGAAAUCAGCGUUAAAAAACAUGAACAUGAAUUUUAAAUUCUAUUUUUACAAAAUAUCAUCUAUCAUUAAAAGCUAUCAUUAAAUCAUAGCAGGAACCUAAGAGAGCUUUCAUUUAAUGUAACAAAGAGACGUAAGGAGACAGACAGAUAGCACAGUGCUUCCAAUAAGAGCAAAUUUUACUGAACAAAGAGUAUAGCAGCUGACCUUGUGGCUGUAAUGGAGGUGUGGGAAGAAGGAAGAUUGCUUAACUGGCAGAAGAAACACUGAUUUCAUCCUUGUGUAAUUAUCCCACACACACUGAGAAUGGUUGCAUACCUUCUGCUCUGCUUUGAUGCAAUUAUUAGCGUGUGCUUAUGGUCCAUAUAUAUAUAUAUGCACUUCAGACACUGAGCUACGCUCCAUUCAAAGCAGUUUAGCAUUCAGCUCUGAAAGCUCUUCAGAACUCUUGACUUGAACACCUCUAAAGCCUUCAAAAUCAACUCUGCACCAACCCCAUGUUUAAGGUUCAGAUCUCAUUAGUUUUGGCUAGGAAUGCUCUCUAAUUACUAAGAGAGUUUUCUCAAGUUGCACUUUAGAAAUUCAUCUUUUUUUGUACACUGUAAAGUAUUCAUAAAAAGCUAAAAACUGUGGGAAAAUUAGCAUUGAUGGAUGUUUUCUUACCCUCCACCAGGAAAUGAUGUACUUGAAACUCAUUACAGAUCUUCAUAGAAACUCUGCUGAAUGUGCCUUGGGCUUUGUGCUGAUCAGCACACACUGAGCUUACUGCAUAAUUCAUCUCUCUUGUGUCACAUUUAAUGUAUAACAUGCAUUUCCUGUUAAUUAUGAAAAUAAAGAUGCGUUCUUUCUUUUAGAAACAUAAUCAUUAAAUUACUACAGAAAUUAA